rnacentral:rRNA from 1 species
GGCUCAGAACGAACGCUGGCGGCGUGCUUAACACAUGCAAGUCGAACGCGAAAGGGACUUCGGUCCUGAGUAAAGUGGCGCACGGGUGAGUAACGCGUAGAUAACCUGUCUUCAUGUCUGGAAUAAUACGCCGAAAGGGGUACUAAUACCGGAUAUUCUUGCUUUUCAUAAGUUAUGCAAGCAAAGGUGGCCUCUGCAUAUGCUACUGCAUGAAGAGGGGUCUGCGUACCAUUAGCUAGUAGGUGGGGUAAUGGCCUACCUAGGCGACGAUGGUUAGCGGGUCUGAGAGGAUGAUCCGCCACACUGGCACUGGAACACGGGCCAGACUCCUACGGGAGGCAGCAGUGAGGAAUAUUGCGCAAUGGGGGAAACCCUGACGCAGCGACGCCGCGUGAGUGAGGAAGGCCUUCGGGUCGUAAAGCUCUGUCAAGAGGAAAGAAGUGUACAAUGGCUAAUACCUGUUGUAUUUGACGGUACCUCUAAAGGAAGCACCGGCUAACUCCGUGCCAGCCGCGGC